GAAGUUGUUGCUUUUCUAUGUCAAAGUUAGGACGACACUAUGGUAAAGAGUAUAUGUAAAGGUGAAAUAGAAAACUAGCAGUUAAAAUGAUUCUAGCACCAGUUGAAAGGUAAACAAGGAUCUCCACCUGAAGCACAACAGCAGCAAAAAAUGCAGACUUUCAGUGGUCAGACCAAAAAAAUUGCAGAAACAGCAAGCGCCGCAGGCAGCUCCGCUAGGACCGCCCCGGGACACGCCCCUGCCUGCUCUUCACGCAUUGCGGCCACGCGCCUGCAGUGCUGCAGGCAAUCAACAAUCAGCGCACCUGGGUCUGAUGAGGGCAGACGA